GAGAGGUAACGGCUCACCAAGGCAUCGACGGGUAGCUGGUCUGAGAGGACGAUCAGCCACACUGGAACUGAGACACGGUCCAGACUCCUACGGGAGGCAGCAGUGGGGAAUCUUGCACAAUGGGCGCAAGCCUGAUGCAGCGAUGCCGCGUGCGGGAAGAAGGCCCUAGGGUUGUAAACCGCUUUCAGUAUGGAAGAAAAUGACGGUACCUACAGAACAAGGUGCGGCCAACUACGUGCCAUCAGCCGCGGUGACACGUACGCACCAAGCGUUAUCCGGAUUUAUUGGGCGUAAAGAGCUCGUAGGCGGUUUGGUAAGUCGGGUGUGAAAACUCUGGGCUCAACCCAGAGAGGCCACUCGAUACUGCUAUGACUAGAGUACGGUAGGGGAGAACGGAAUUCCUGGUGUAGCGGUGAAAUGCGCAUAUAUCAGGAGGAACACCGGUGGCGAAGGCGGUUCUCUGGGCAUUACCUGACGCUGAGGAGCGAAAGUGUGGGGAGCGAACAGGAUUAUAUACCCUGGUAGUCCACACCGUAAACGUUGGGCGCUAGGUGUGGGGCUCAUUCCACGAGUUCCGUGCCACAGCUAACGCAUUAAGCG
rnacentral:rRNA from 1 species